rnacentral:lncRNA from 1 species
ACAGAGGGGCUUGUCGUGCCUCCAACUAGUAUGGUUUUUUAUUUUUUAUUUUUUAUUUUUUUGUUUUUUUUGUUUUCUUGGAUUUUUAAAAGUUUGUGCAAUACAACUAAAAGCUAUUAGGCUUUGAUACCACUUUUGGAUUUUACUAACAUCUAUACAUUAUCUUAAGGCAACAUAAACAAUACAAGAUUUACAUAAGUGUACAUACACUAUAAGAUUUAGGUUUUACUAGUUAUAGCAACGAGUUUUAAAAGCUAAAAGAAAAACAUACUAACCUCUUGGUUUCUUGCUUGAGAUCUUGUAAAUGUCAAUGAUUGCAGUGGAUGAAGGAUCCAAAGUAGUCACCAUCUAAUGUAGUCAGACCCACAAACUCCAUAAGCAAAAUAUAAAGAACCUUAGAUUGGGGUUUAGUCGAAAUUCUCUAACCCUAUGAGAGAGGUUAGAAAUUUCAUAUGGAGGAGAGAGAGAGAGAGAAAGAGGAAAGAGUGUGUGUGUGUGUGUAACGCCCUGUUUCAAAUCGUUUUCCAUUUCGAGGUGAUGAUCAAGGAUUGGGUAUUAGCAGAAUUAGGACCCUUGAAGAAUUGAGAUCUAGACUCAUUAGGAGGUGGAUGAUGUAACUAGCAGAAUUAAAACCCUAUAAAUCGCACCUUAGCCUCCAUGGUGGUGUUUUUGAGCUCAUUGUGUGCAUAUUGGUGUGUUUUGGUUCAUAUUCAAGAAGAUGGAGUUUGGUGCAAGGUUGUGGAUCAAGGAAGAGCUUAUGGAUCCUGAUUCUCUACUUCAUUUCCUACUUGUUUGAGGUAAAAAGCUAUGAACUUGUUCAUUACUGGCUUAAAUCUAUUAUAUAUGAGUUUUGGUUCCUUUUUGGCCCCAAGAAUGGGAUCUAGUAGUUUGAUACCACUCCAGGAGCUAUGAGUUGCCACUCUUGGUGUUUCCGAGGUUCUAGAUUCAUAAAGUUGUCUCCAUUAGGGUUUGGAAUCCCCCAUGCAUGAGAUUGUGUCCAUUUAGUGAAAGUAUAAUGCUAUAUCUUGAAGUUGGGUCCUUUUGGCGCAUGCAAAGUCACCAAGUCAGUGCCUUUAUGGUUCUAGACUCUUAUUAGGACUCAGAUAUGUGGUUUAGACUUCUAGAUUUAAGCAUUAAGAGCUUAAUGAAGAGUUUGACUUAAUGGAUGAGUACGCUGAACGUACAAGUAUGUACGCGCAACGUAUGACAUCCCCAUUUUCACGGCCAGAAAAGACCGAUUUUGUUUAUGCUUUAUAAAAAUCAGAGUACCCCUUUUUAAUAAAAAUGUGCGGAAUUUGUUCCCAGUGAAACAUGAUGAAUACGUUAUCAGGGAAUUUCCGAAGAAAAGUAUUUUUAUUCAUUUUAAAACAUUCGGGAUGUCAUCGUCAAUACAUAAACAUAAGCAUAAAUAGAACUUACAUUCAUUUACACUAGUGAUUUAUAUCUCCUUAAUCUCUCAGUGUAAUGUAACUUCAUAUCGACACCUGUGAUACAAAUAAACUGAGUGGGUCAGGUUGGGAAACCUGGUGAGUACAUAGGGUUUUCAUCCUAUAAUAAUAUAAUCAUUAUGUUUAAACAAUCAAACAAUCAACCCAAUUACCCAUCCCCAUUAUCUUCUUUAUUCUUAAGGAUCUACCAUAAGAAUCAUCUAUUUCUCGUUUAUUCAUUUCUAAGGAUUAUCCUAAGGAAUAGGUAUGAAUUCCAUCGUUGUCAAUGACACAUCUGUCAAACACAGCUGCUAGUUCUGUCACUUAGGUGCAGCUGCCAAAAUCGUAACAUUCUCUACGAGGUGCAUCUGUCGGUGUUGUCCUUUAGGCGCAGCUGCCAGGGUUAUCUCGUUUAUCGACAAUAUCGUUUCCGAGAAUCCACUCGCAAUACAUGUCAAUGGGUUUUUAGAGUACACCGGUGAACACAUCGUUCAUAACACCUACAGGUUGCAAGCCUGCUAGUGUUCCACUGGACUAUCUAGAAUAAUCCGUGGUUGUCAUCUAUACUCUGCUAGAUGACGGGGCCAACAUUUGGGUACAAGGCUUCUUACAUCGUCCGCCUCUCAUCCUCACCUCAUAGUCUAUUUAACCUCUCACCUCAUCAUCCAACUCAUAUUUCAUCUAUUACAUCUACCCAUGUUUUACCCCAACAUUUUCGUAGAUAUAAAAUACAUAUACAGUUUAAAUCAUUUAAAUCAUAUAAAACUUGUAUAAAAUCGUUCAUCCAGCAUAGAUAGAAAGUAUACAGAUAAUAUGCACACUUAGCAUAUAGGUUAUAUAAAAUACUUCAUAUCUAUGUGUAAGAUGAAAGGGACCAUGCACUCACUUGAAAAGGUGGUGAUUCCGAACUCAGACAGCGCUUCGCUUCUUAAAAAUAAUUUCCUUCGACGAAACCUAGUAUUAUUACCACUAGAGUUUAGUUUAUUAUUUGCAGGGACUAAUUAAUAGUCUAGCUAUUAUUACUAUUACAUAAGCGUUAAACAAUACUUAUAUAACCCAUAAUAAUAGCCCAAGUACUUAUUAUAAAUUCCUAAUAAUGUUACUAUAAUUAAAUAAAAACAAUAUUAAAAAUAGCGUAGGCGUAGCUCACUUACAACGAGUUUUAUAGAAAACCGGGCUUUGCUUGGAGAAGCAUUCCCGAGCCGAAAAACUCUUCUUCUUGGAGCCGUUGAGCACUCCAGGGCUUCCGCCUCGUGCUAGGGAGGUUCCCUAGCCUUUUCGGGGGGUUUCAGGGCUAGAGAGAGAGUAAAGAUAAGAAAGAAUGAGAAAGGUGUGAAGAAAAUGAGGGUGAGAGAGGUUCUAUUUAUAGGGUGAAAAAUGGCUGAAGUUGGUGCCACAUGUCACCAUCUAGUGGCAAGACUUGGGGAGAAAGCAAUGACCAAGAUUGUGCCACAUCACCCAUUUUCGCACAACACACUUCCGACUUCUAAAAUCCGUAACUUUCACAUACGAGCUCCGUUUUUGAUGUUUUUUAUAUCCACGCAUAGGUAAAAAUAAUAUCUACAACUUUCAUUUUGACUCCGUCGGCUAAUUCUCGGCCGAUCUUAAAUUUAACAGUAAACAGCACGAGGAGAUUAUACUGUAAAGUGUCCGCAUAAAGUUCAUAACUUCUACAUACGGACUUUGUUUUCAUCUAUCUUUUUACCGUUGAGUUCCUAUUAAUGAGAUCUUUAAUUCCCAUUUAGGUCGCGUAGGCCAAAAACCGAUCGAACUAAAAUUCGAGUUUCGGGUCGUGCACUGCUAUGCCAAAUGUUAGAAAAUUCAUAACUUCCUCGUACGAAGUCAGAUUUGGGCGUUCUUUUUAUGGACACUCUCAGUUUAACAUAUUAUACGAAUUUUGUUUAGAUUACUAAGGCUAAAAAGUCCUCUAUCGUAAAUUCACUAUUUACGUCUCCCGGUGCCGUGCCGGUUUUGUCGAAAAACUUCGACGGGCCAUAACUUCUUCGUUAUAACUUGGAUUUCGACGUUCUUUAUAUGUACGGAACCCUUGAGACAUAUUCUACAACUUGGUUAAAACUUCCAGAACAGACUAUACUUUCCUUCAUGUUCUAAUCUCAUCUUAAAAGGUAGCAUUUGUAGCUACAAGAAACUAUCGCGAUACCUCUACCGAUCGCUUUGAUUAUCUUUUAUUUCAAUCUUCCGGCUUAAGUCAGAUGUUACAUCAAACUUGGUUCUCUGAACCACGUAACAUACUCAUCGUAGUUGGACUCAAUUCGAUAUGACCACUAGGGUCGGAAUAACAGUCAUCUUCUUAGUCAUUACCGAAACGAUGGUAACGACAUAUUUGAAUAAAACAGUAUCAAUUACUAGCUUCUUGGUAACCUUGUGACUUUCCCUGAUCCAAGCGUGAGUCCCGUGCUUCCGGUAGUAUAGGCCUCUACUACUUUUCACACAUACUCAUACUCGUCCCAAGUAUUGUCUCGCAGUUUUCCUAGUCAUUAUCACAAAAAAACAAUUUUAACACAUACAAAUGUGUCCGAACAAUCAUAUAAUUUUCCCUAUACUCUACUAGGACUUCUUCCAUGCGUAUCUUCAAUCAACAAUUUUGCUUCGACCCGGUUGGUGGUGGAAAUGGCAGACGAUGGGAUAGCAAUGGAAUGCUAGUAUUGGUUAGCGCAGGUCAUAGGCGAUUCAUGUUAUAUGAGGUUGAUGGGUCGGGAAUCCAUCUGAUUUAAGAGAUGAGAGAGCUUCAUCGAAUCCAAGUGGGGGAGAAUCGAUCAGGAUUUCUGGGAAGUUAGGAAGGGUGUGGAACUAGGGCAAGUUUCACAUCCUGGCCAGGAGGGGAGACGACCCAAGUGGCCUUUUAGUUUGAGGUUAUGUAGGUGGGAGUUCAGGAAACUUCUAACUACUGGUCGGUGUCUCAUUUAUUAUGCAUAGCAGGCUUGUGGUUGAGUCCAGGUUGAGGGUUUUGAAAUUCGAAGCAUGACCCGAACACCUGAUUGAACACAGUUUGAUGUAGAUUUCGACUUAGGAUGUGUGGGGUUGUGAUGGUUAGGGUGUGAUAAGGCCAUAGGUGGUAACCAUGGUUGGUUAAAAGUGUUGUAAGAUUGCGAUGGGAUCGUAACAUUCACUAGUUCAAGGUAGACUAUUUUUCGAGGUGGUCAUGAGCGUAAAGGGGGAAUCAGUUCGUGCCUUGGGCACGUUGAUCAGGAUUGUCGAGGAGUAUUUCUCUGUUUUAGGUUGAGGACCAUUGGGGUACGAGGCGGAGUCGGGCCUGUGUAGCUCUAGAUGUGUGGGACCCAUGGGCGAGGCCGCUCCGUGGUAUAGUUGGGUGGGACCCGUGGGCAAGGCCCAUAUGUUUAUGGUAAUACAGGUGGGACCUGGUACAGACCGUUGGGUCAAGGUACUGGAUCUUGAGUUACAUGAUUAAGUGAGUGGUCACUGUGUGACGCAGAGACAUUUAUAGGCUGGGUAGCCUUUUUAUUUGGACUCUUGGGUAGGGGUGCAAAUGAGCCAAGCUACUUGUGAGCUACUCAAGAUCGAAUCGUUAAAAGCUCGACUCAAGAUCGAUUUUAAACGAGCCCGAGCCGAGCUCGAGCUUAAUAUUAGGCUUAUUUGUUAAACGAGCUCGAGCUCGAGCCUUUGUUACUUGGCUCGAUUAGACUCGCGAGCCUAAACUAGCAUACAUAUAUAUAUAAUAAAAAAUUUUAUUUUUAUUUGUAUAUAUUAAAAUAAACAAUAAUUUAAUAAAUACCAUUUUAGGAAAUUAGAGUAUACCGUAGACGAGCCGAGCACAAACCGAGCCCAAUCCCGUACAAUUAUUAACGAUCCAAUCUCGAGCUUUGUACCACAAGGAUUGAAACGAGCCGAGCUCGAGCUCGAGCCUAUAAAUAUUUAAACGAGNNNNNNNNNNNNNNNNNNNNNNNNNNNNNNNNNNNNNNNNNNNNNNNNNNNNNNNNNNNNNNNNNNNNNNNNNNNNNNNNNNNNCUCUUGGGAACCUGGUGGUUGGACUAGGUGCGAGACUGGUAGUCUCAAUGAUGGUUUGGGAACCUUUAUAUCCCGGCCUAGUGAGGGGUUGUUGUGAAUCAAAAGGUUUUGGGUGAAAUGCGAGUGUAGAUCCCUGGAUCUCGGGUUAUGAGUUGAGUAUCGAGUUGGUUUUUUUGGGUGAGAUCUCGAGUUGGGAAUCCGAGGGCGUCACUUGAAGGGUUCAAGGGUAAGGAAUGGAUUCAGUUUUGUCGAUAGAUCAAACCCUUGUGACUGUGUCUUGGAUUGGUUCUAUUUAUGAAGGGCAUCAAGCUAAGUCAAGGCGAUAUUAUUGAUUUGGAACUCAUGUGUGGAGUCGCUUGUUAUUCGAAGAAUAUGCUAGGUCACUUGUAGUUUGGAUUAGAUAAUCUCAGAGUAAAUGAUUUGACCCUGUUGCACAACUCUCGUUUGAGUCUAACCGUUGUAGGGAUGAGUCUUCUACUCGAAGGAUUAUCCGAGCCUUCUGUUAAGUAUAAGUGUUCUGCAUCAAUAACUUGUAUGUGAUUCUGCUUUCUAGUGGGAACCUCAAGUCAUUAGAAUUUGAGUAGUUAGUUAAGAGAUAAGUGGAAUAGAUUUAACAAUGGUUCAGUAUGGGCGGUCUGUUAGGGAGUCAGACCAUCUCGAGAUUUCAGAUUGAGUAGACAUGGUUAUUUUGCAAGGGAUUAUUUUAGGUUGAGAAAGAAUUCGUUCAUUUUCGGGUUGGAGAGCCCUGCUAGGUUUGGUUUUGGUUGCCUUGGGAAAACUUUGGUAUGCUCGGGGUUGUGGUUGUGUUUCUCAGGUUGUCUCGCAUACCGGGGAUUGUAAGGAAUGAAUUUGAGGAGAAAAUCUAAUUUAAGUGGAGGAGAGUUGUAACGCCCUGUUUCGGAUCGUUUUCCAUUUCAGGGUGGUGAUCAAGGAUUGGGUAUUAGUAGAAUUAGGACCCUUGAAGAAUUGAGAUAUGGACUCAUUAGGAGGUGGGUGAUGUAACUAGGAUGAUCCGGGUAAUUGGUUUGUUUUUGGAUCCAAAGGGUAUUUUAAAUAUAUGUCAGCUUGGGCUUUUAUAGAAAUUGGAUGUUUGUUCGGGAAAUUGUAAGGCAGUUAUGAGUUUAUUAAAGCAUAGAGAUUCUUGUUACCUUUUCAUGGAUAUAAGGAUCGUCGUAAUCAUAUUUAUAACGAAGAAGUUAUGGCCUUCAGAGUGCAAUAAGGUUUAGGAGGAAACCCUAGUAUGCGGGGCGUACCUAUGGAGAACGCGGGGCAUACAUGUGCGAAGGGAAGUACGCGAGGCGUAAUGUGAUGUACUCUUAGCAUAUUGCGAAAGAAGGAUCAGGAAUGUGAGGCCUCGUAUGCUGGGCGUAACAAGAGUAUGUGGGGCAUGUGAGGUGUGAAUGAAAACCCUUAUUUAGGGUGUUGUACCCUAUAUAAGCAUUUUAAGUCUUUAGGGUUUGCCUCUUUACCAGCCUCCAAGUCCCCAAAACCCUAGAAAUCGUCCCUUAGCCUCCAUUGUAGUGUUUUUGAGCUCAUUGUGUGCAUCUUGGUGUGUUUUGGUUCAUAUUCAAGAAGAUGGAGUUUGGUGCAAGGUUGUGGAUCAAGGAAGAACUUAUGGAUCCUGAUUCUCUACUUUAUUUCCAGCUUGUUUAAGGUAAAAAGCUAUAAACUUGUUCAUUAAUGUCUUAGAUAUAUGAGUUUCGGUUCCUUUUUGGCCCCAAGAAUGAGAUCUGGUGGUUUGAUACCACUCCAGGAGCUAUGAGUUGCCACUCUUGGUGUUUAUGAGGUUAUAGAUUCAUAAAGUUGUCUCCUUUAGGGUUUGGAAUCCCCCAUGCAUGAGACUGUGUCCAUCUGGUGAAAGUAUAUGCUAUAUCUUGAAGUUGGGUUCUUUUGGGGCAUGCAAAGUCACCAAGUCAGUGACUUUAUGGUUCUAGACUCUUAUUAGGACUCAUAUAUGUGGUUUGGACUUCUGGACUUAAGCAUUAAGAGCUUAAUGAAGAUUUUGGCUUAAUGGAUGAGUACGCUGGACGUACAAGUCUGUAUGUGCAACAUACAAGCCAAAUAGUGUGUACGCUUAGUAUACAACUGAGUACGCCUGCGUACCCAGUCAGGUGGGAUUUUGCAUCUUGGGCUUCAAGUUUAGGAUUUCUUUUGGGCUUGGGUGUUUUAGUUCUUAAUGGGCCAUUCGAGUACAAGUGUUUUGGACUAGAAAAAUUGGUUGGGCUUUAGGGUAAUGCCCAUGUAAGGGGUUUGGGCCCAAAUUGGAAAAUUAGGCCAUAAUUGGGCCUUGUUUGAUUAUUUGGCUUUUGGGCAUUUUAGAUUGUGAGUUUGGGCCUUGGUCUUGGUCCAAACUAGGUAAGGGGCAAAUUGGUUAUUUACCCUAGUAAUGGUCGGAUGGUUUGGAUGGGAAUCCAAUUAUUAAUUUAAUGUUGUUUGAUAUUGAUAGUUCGAGGAUUUGUCAGCCAACAACCAAGGAUUAUCUGUGCGUUUUGGCAGUACGAGAUGAGUUUUCCUCAUUAGGUUUAGCUGGGCGAAGACGCCAAUGUUGACCCAUGGUUUAUAUGUUAAGAAGCUAGAUGCAUGCGUGACUCUUGCAUGCGUUGUGUGAUGGUAUGCUUACCAGGCAAGGUCCGAUGCCAGACGGGGCCUGAUGCGUAGAUUGUAUGCUAGUUAUUAGUAUCUGUUUUUAUGCUUACGGGGCGAGGCCCGAUGUCGGGCGCGGAUCGAUGACGGUAUGGUAUGUUAUAGUCUUUGUGAUUAUUGCAUGUGCUAGUAAGGUUAUAUGUUUAUAUGAUUAUGUGUGUAUCGGGUGAGGCCCGAUGGAUGGCAGUGGCCCAAUAUGUGAUUUAUGUAUGUGUGGUAUGUGGUAUUUAGGAGAACUCACUAAGCUUUGUGCUUACGGUUUUCAGUUUAUAUUUAAGGUACUUCGGUUUUCAGUUUAUGUUUCAGGUACUUCGAUUUUCUAAUGAAAGAGCUCGAGAUGAUUGUAGAUCACACACAACAUGUUUCCGCAUUCUGUGAUUCACUCUGAUUUGAUGAUGUUGAUUACCUUGGUUUUUUUGAAAUGAUAUGUAUUAACAAUUUAUUAAUCUAAAAAUGAAAAUUUUAUGUUAUUAUUUUUGGGACGUUUCAGAGAGAGAGAGAGAGAGAGAGAGAGAGAGAGAGAGAGAGAGAGAGAGAGAGAGAGAGAGAGAGAGAGAGAGAGAGAGAAAAANAGAGAGAGAGAGAGAGAGAGAGGACAAAAUUGUCCAAGAAACCAACACCUAGUGUUUGUCCCAUAACAAUCUAUUUAUAUGAUGCAAAUAGAAUCCUAGAAAGAUUCAAACUCUUAGGUUAAUCUUUAUCUGAUUUAAACUUGCUCUACCUCUAUUUAAGGACUUAGCCAAAAUCAUCCAUAUCAAUCAUCCAAAACUCGAUAAUUCUUAAUGGAUUUUGGAGCUCCAUAUCUCAACGAAAGCUUCAUUAGGAUCAAACGGAAGUUGAUUCAGUGAAGGAUGGGAGUUCACACAACAAUUCAACCAUGAAUCAAGCAUCAAAUUAGUAAAAUACUCACCAUCAUCAUAUUUGGAUUAAAACCAAACCCUAGGUUUGAAUUUAGGGAAGAUGAGAGUAGAAGAUGUUAUCUUAAGUGCUUAAUUGAAACCCUAACUUCCAAAUCCUUUGAUUGCUUCAGCAAUUGGUUUUAUAUCUUAUCGCCAAUAAAGUGCUUCCUCCCCUCUUCAAAUCGUUUUAUGCUUCAAAUGAGAGUGGAAAGCCCGUAACUAGCUCAUAUUUAUGAAAGUGGGCAACAAUGUCAAUGAGGCUUUCCCAUCAAUUUAUCUCAUUUUGACACCCUUUUAACUAGAAAAUUAUAGAACUUUUUUUUUGGUACAUUGGGCAUUAAACUGCCUUCUUCCAGGUUAUAUGGACCCUAACUAGUCAAGUAGUCAACAUUUUGUCAUUAAGUUUGUAAGUUGGCAAAACUAAUCCUUUUACUUUAAACUCUAACUUGAAACUCCAUUAUUAACCUUAUUUUAAUUUCCCUUAAAUUGAUACUAAACUUUUCAUAAUAGAUAUGAUUUCAGUUUAUCUAUUAUUAUUAUUUUAUUUAUUUAAUUUAAAUUUAUAACGAAAAUUUCUAUAUCUAAUUUAAGGAUGUUACAGUUUUUGACUUACACUUCAGUCUUGUCUUCUUAGUUUAGUGUUGUCUUCCUUUACACUAGCGUUGCCCCUUUCUGAAUAGCAAAACACUUGUACUUCUAGAUUUUAUUGCAUAGAAUUUACCACUGCCCCUUUCUCAAUAGCAAAACGCUUGUACUUCUAGAUUUUACUGCAUAGAAUUUACCACAGUUAUUGAUAUACAAUAAGUGUCUAAGAUCUUAUGGCCAAGCUUGCUAAUGUUUUUUUUUCUUGAUCAACAUAGUGUAAAUUCAAAUUUACAAUAUAUAAAACGUUCUAGUUUUGAGUAACAUCAUUUUUAUCAUUUCUGGCAUCUUGUAUUUUGCACAGGGUUUGCAUGCCUCUUCAUCACUAUUUCUUUAUAUAGCGAUUUCAAACAAGUAGUCGCCCAAUAAACCUAUCACCGAACUACCUACCAUUAAGGUUAUCAAACCGGAGUAUUUUAGUUGUGCCUCCUCUCAACGAACCGUGGUAUCAUGUUGAUAAAAUACCACAGAGAAAACAUUUUGCAAUCACUAUAAGAAAGAAUGGUUAAUACCUAGAGAAUGAUUAGCAAUGCAGAGAGUAGUGUUUGUGUCUUUGUGACUAGUUGUUUAGUUGUAAAUGUGAUGAAAGAAGAUAUUUAAUUUAAUUUUUUUUGUUUAAUUGUUUUCUAUUUAUAAAUAUGCACUAUUUGUUCGAUGGAUAUUUUUCUUUAUUAUUAGUGAUAAAGUUAACGUUAUCAAGACUAGACCAUGGCACGUUGCAAUUCGAGUAAUCCAAAGCUUAUUUCCCAACAAUGAAAUAUUUGAGCAUGUUUGAUAGUUGGUAUGAUCAACCUCCUCUAUUUCGAUGAAAAUCGAAGGGACAUUAUUUCCUAUAAGGUUUACAUCACGGCAAGUUACUAUUAAUUUUCAUUAAUCUAAACACUAUUCACAUAAUCACAUGUAGUUAAAUUGAACAGAAAGUUUUAUGGACUGUUAUUUAUUUAUUUAUUUUAGAAUGAUGAACAUAUUUUAAUCUACUUUUAAAUUAACCCUAGUCCCACUAAUGUCUUAAAUAGUACUUGGACCUCAAUCUCUUGAAGGAUGACAUUUCACCAUAUUGUUACUCCACCAUAUUGUUACUCCGUUAGACUAAAGGUAUGUUGGUUUAUGAUCUACCGGAAACUUAUGUGUACAUUAAUUGUUUAUUGUUUAAUCAAGUUUAUCUUUGUCCUUGAUUUGUUCUUCUAAAAAUUAUUGUAAAGUUUCUCUGUAUUUGGUUUUGUAAGCAAAUUAUUUUAGUGAUUCUUUAUUUUGAUCACAAGCUCCUUGUUAAUCUGAAAUUGUGAACAAUAUAUGUAUAUGAAAUGCAAACACUUGAGCUUCAAGCCUCUAACUCAACUUAAGCUUAUUCAAUUUGAACUUUAUAUAACUUGCUUAAUUAAACCAAUAUGUAAUGUAUAUUUUUGAGUUAUUCUGGAUUUUGAACUCGAGGUAAAACUCAUGCAUCUCCAUAGUUUUUUGCUUGAUUACUCUUUUGUUGGGUAUUCUUUUUUCGAAACUUAUAAAACGGCCAGUGAAGUAGGCAAAAUAAUAAAGGGUUAUUGAUGUGUUAGAAUGAUGGACUUUUUGUACGAGAACCAAGUUUUGUUAAAAAAAAUAUUAUACGUAAAUAGUUGGUGAUAAACAUCGUACAUCAGAAAUAUAAAAAAGACGUCGUCUCAAGUUAAACGUAGGAAAGGUGGUAAUGUGUUUUUACCAACCCUAUUAAAGAAAUGACAAAUUUGGUGGUCCUUGAAGUUAUUUAAUUUGUAGGAAUGGCACAGCUUUUAAGUUUUAGUUGCAGGUGGGUCCUUCUUUACCUGGCAACCAAUUGUUGAUGAUAUGAACCAUGAUGUGUUACUUUUUUAAAUAAAGGAACGACCACGUAUACAAGUACUCGUACUAUUUAUCUAUUUGAUUCCUAAAGGAAGAUAUUUAUGUCACAUCAAUUUUAAGAAAAUAUUAUUGGUAGUUGAAUUUAGUAGUAAUAUGUUACCAUUCGUUUAUAAAUGUGAUUUAUAAACGUAAAUAUCAAAUGGAACAUAAAAAAUCAUAAUAAAAUUUGGAUCUAACAAUUAUUUAUAAAAGAAGAAGAUGAAAAUAAGAUUUGAAGGUGUUAUAUUAAAAACAUAACUUUGAAAGAUAACAAGAGACAAAUUGUAAUUUAUAAAAUAUCAAUAAUUUAAUUUUAAAAAUAUAAAUGAUGAAAACCGUUCAAAAUUUUUAGAAAAAAAAUAUAAAUAUAUGUUAUGAUGAGAAGCAAAUUUAAAAAAAAAAAGUUUAUUUUGAAUCUUGUAUUAUACAAUGAAAAAGUCGAUAUGAUCUAAUUUUAAAUAUUUUUUUAUAUGAAAAUAUCAAACCAAAUGUAAUAGUAAAACAUAUAUAUAUAUAUAUAUAUAUAUACACACACACACACAGACAGACAGACACAUAGCACGUAUUCUAUAGGAAAUACUUCACAUCUAUGGGUAAGAUGAAAAUGACUACACACUCACUUGAUUAGACGAUGCUCNNNNNNNNNNNNNNNNNNNNNNNNNNNNNNNNNNNNNNNNNNNNNNNNNNNNNNNNNNNNNNNNNNNNNNNNNNNNNNNNNNNNNNNNNNNNNNNNNNNNNNNNNNNNNNNNNNNNNNNNNNNNNNNNNNNNNNNNNNNNNNNNNNNNNNNNNNNNNNNNNNNNNNNNNNNNNNNNNNNNNNNNNNNNNNNNNNNNNNNNNNNNNNNNNNNNNNNNNNNNNNNNNNNNNNNNNNNNNNNNNNNNNNNNNNNNNNNNNNNNNNNNNNNNNNNNNNNNNNNNNNNNNNNNNNNNNNNNNNNNNNNNNNNNNNNNNNNNNNNNNNNNNNNNNNNNNNNNNNNNNNNNNNNNNNNNNNNNNNNNNNNNNNNNNNNNNNNUAUCCAUAAUUUUUUAUACGAGUAACCUACCUAUUUCUCUAUUCUACAUUUCAUGAUCCUGAUGGGAUGUCAAGCCCACCAAACAAAUUACACCCUUUGAUUGCUAAAUAAACGUAAUAUAAUGGUAAAAAGGGGUAUCGAUCCUCAGAGAAAUGAUUGUAUUCAAUCACUAAUGCAAUUCAAUAGAACUAGUGAAAUUAAACUAACUACAAUUAAACUAAAAGGGGUUUUUUUUGAUUACUUGAAAACUAAAAUACUUGAAUAACUAAAAACCUUGCAAUUAAGCAAGUUGACGAGAUGCUCAAAGGUUGGGAAUAAUUGGUUAACUAAGGCAAUUCAACACAAUGAACAUUUGUGUGUUUAUCAUUAGGAUCUAAUACAAAGCUUAUCCUUCAUCCCAAAUUGGUUAUAGCAAUCAUGAAACAUGAUAUGCCAAGAUUCCUCAUAGGUAGUAUGGAGGUUGGGGAAGCCCACAACACACCUUCUUAAUUAAGAUCAAGGGUCAAUUGAAGCAAUUAAUCCCAAGAAAUCAAUUAGCCUUAAGAAUGAAGGAAUCCCCAAUUCCUAGAGGAUGUCAAAUGCUUACACAUCCAUAAAGGAGAUAUGAUUCAUAAGCUAGAGAUGAUUUCUACCAUCAUAAAGCCUUUGUUCUAGAUAAAUUCAAUGAUCCAAUGCAAAAUCAAUGAAAUAAAUCAACCAUUGCUCAAUCAAAUACUAAGCUCAUGAUCAAAGCAUCAAAUAAGCAUAAGAAUUGCAAACUAGAAUCAUAAACAUGGAAUAAAUUGAUAAUCAACAUAAAUCCUUCAAAACCCACAAACAUUCAUUGGUUUUCAGCCAAAGUCAACCAAAUAAGAGUAUUAGCCACUCAUGGCAACAAAGUAACAAGAACAAUAAUCUAAUUGCAUAAAGAAACUACCUAAGAUUUGGAAAGAUGAAAGGAAAUGAUUUCUAGCUCCCAAAAUCGCCUCUUGCAGGUCUCCAAUGGUGGAAAAACGUGAAUGAGCUUCUAGAUCUGAUCCCCAAGGGUUAUGGCAAGCCAAAUGACCAAAAUGCCCAAACUGGGCAGUUGCGCGGGUACCCGCGCGACGAAAAUUCCACCCGCGCAAAUGUUGCAGUAAUGCUAUUGGUCCACCAAGCCACUCCACCCUUCCACUACCAAAGAUUCCUUUGGUCCCCCNNNNNNNNNNNNNNNNNNNNNNNNNNNNNNNNNNNNNNNNNNNNNNNNNNNNNNNNNNNNNNNNNNNNNNNNNNNNNNNNNNNNNNNNNNNNNNNNNNNNNNNNNNNNNNNNNNNNNNNNNNNNNNNNNNNNNNNNNNNNNNNNNNNNNNNNNNNNNNNNNNNNNNNNNNNNNNNNNNNNNNNNNNNNNNNNNNNNNNNNNNNNNNNNNNNNNNNNNNNNNNNNNNNNNNNNNNNNNNNNNNNNNNNNNNNNNNNNNNNNNNNNNNNNNNNNNNNNNNNNNNNNNNNNNNNNNNNNNNNNNNNNNNNNNNNNNNNNNNNNNNNNNNNNNNNNNNNNNNNNNNNNNNNNNNNNNNNNNNNNNNNNNNNNNNNNNNNNNNNNNNNNNNNNNNNNNNNNNNNNNNNNNNNNNNNNNNNUAUAUAUAUAUAUAUAUAUAUAUGGGAAAAGUGAGUAUGAGGCUGUAAUACAUGUAAUCUUAGGUGUGGAACCUUCAUAACGCUGUCGUUUUGCUUUAAUAGCUUUUUUACCCACCGCAUUUUUCUUCCGGAGCCCUAAUGUUUCAUUAAUUAUCACGUGCAUUGGAUGAAAAUGAAUUCACUUACAUUCACUUAUUUUAGGCAUCUAUAAAUUUUUAUAUUAUUUUUCUCUUGAUUUUCGGCUCCCAUGAAAUCCUACCAAUAUUACAAAAUUCAUCUCACUUUUACCCAUAAUUCUUUCUCAACUUUGAUUUCUAGUAUCCAUAAUUUUUUUAUACGAGUAACCUACCUAUUUCUCUAUUCUACAUUUCAUGAUCCUGAUGGGAUGUCAAGCCCACCAAACAAAUUACACCCUUUGAUUGCUAAAUAAACGUAAUAUAAUGGUAAAAAGGGGUAUCGAUCCUCAGAGAAAUGAUUGUAUUCAAUCACUAAUGCAAUUCAAUAGAACUAGUGAAAUUAAACUAACUACAAUUAAACUAAAAGGGGUUUUUUUUGAUUACUUGAAAACUAAAAUACUUGAAUAACUAAAAACCUUGCAAUUAAGCAAGUUGACGAGAUGCUCAAAGGUUGGGAAUAAUUGGUUAACUAAGGCAAUUCAACACAAUGAACAUUUGUGUGUUUAUCAUUAGGAUCUAAUACAAAGCUUAUCCUUCAUCCCAAAUUGGUUAUAGCAAUCAUGAAACAUGAUAUGCCAAGAUUCCUCAUAGGUAGUAUGGAGGUUGGGGAAGCCCACAACACACCUUCUUAAUUAAGAUCAAGGGUCAAUUGAAGCAAUUAAUCCCAAGAAAUCAAUUAGCCUUAAGAAUGAAGGAAUCCCCAAUUCCUAGAGGAUGUCAAAUGCUUACACAUCCAUAAAGGAGAUAUGAUUCAUAAGCUAGAGAUGAUUUCUACCAUCAUAAAGCCUUUGUUCUAGAUAAAUUCAAUGAUCCAAUGCAAAAUCAAUGAAAUAAAUCAACCAUUGCUCAAUCAAAUACUAAGCUCAUGAUCAAAGCAUCAAAUAAGCAUAAGAAUUGCAAACUAGAAUCAUAAACAUGGAAUAAAUUGAUAAUCAACAUAAAUCCUUCAAAACCCACAAACAUUCAUUGGUUUUCAGCCAAAGUCAACCAAAUAAGAGUAUUAGCCACUCAUGGCAACAAAGUAACAAGAACAAUAAUCUAAUUGCAUAAAGAAACUACCUAAGAUUUGGAAAGAUGAAAGGAAAUGGUUUCUAGCUCCCAAAAUCGCCUCUUGCAGGUCUCCAAUGGUGGAAAAAUCGUGAAUGAGCCUCUAGAUCUGAUCCCCAAAGGUUAUGGUGUGCCAAAUGACCAAAAUGCCCAAACUGGGCAGUUGCGCGGGUACCCGCGCGACGGAAAUUCCACCCGCGCAAAUGUUGCAGUCAUGCUAUUGGUCCACCAAGCCACUCCACCCUUCCACUACCAAAGAUUCCUUUGGUCCCCCCUUUGUCCAGGUAAUUUGAAUUCACCAAUCAUCAUUUAGCCACCAAAUGGAUGCUCCAAGCCCAAAAUUAGAAUUUUAUGAUCCAUCUUCACAAGCCCAAAUAAUCCAAGCCAAUAACUUUCAAAGCCCAAUUCUUCUUCUUUGAUUCCGCUAAGCCCAAUAAUGCCUCGGGAGCCCACUAAGCCCGUCUCCAAUCAACCCGCCACCGCAACAAGCACUGAAAAACCUACAAAAUAUCUCAUUCAACAUAACAAGCACCCGGUAUGAUCCAUAAUAAAGAAAAUAAAGAAUAUACAAUGCAAUAAUGAUAAAAAGAUCUAAAAAAAUCUAAAAUAAACUAAUAAAAAUAAGGAAAUAAAAUAAGCUAUCAAAUCACCCCAACCUUAAACCUAACUUGUCCUCAAGUUAGAACAAGACUAAAAAUAAGCUUGGGAUGAACUAUCUAAAAAAGGAAAAAGAAAGAUACCAUAGAACUUGGUCAACAUCAGUCAACAUGGUCAGAAUUAGUCCUUCAAUGGACCCUACGCAUCUUCAAAAUGUUCCCCGCUUUAGAGCCAUAAACCACAUUCUCAACCACUUGAUGGGCGAAUAGAUCACGGCUGGAUGCGGUCGCGGUGUGCAAGACAAAGGAAACAGAGAUGCACCCAGUGGGGGCACUUUAAAUCACCAAUGUAGACCAUAGUGCAUGAAGGAAAGGCGCCUCUUCACACACUAUGAUUCCUACAUUUGUCAGGCUAAAGUGUAUAGUACGAAAUAGGAUUUUGUAGCACGGCCUCCGGGCAAACAUCCGGUUUCAGAGGUUUCUCCCUUGUACUGUCUUUUACACUCUAUCGUCUCAUCGUCGGGGCCUUUUCUCACCAAAAAUCAAAAAUCAAAAAUAAAAUAAAAUAAUAAAAUAUUCUACUUAACCUAAAUCUAAACCUUACAACCUAAAUCUUCAAUCUUGAACUUCUAUUAUUUGGAUUUCAGUCACAUUUGCUGCUUGACAUUCAGAUUUUUUUUUUGGGGAAUUAUAUAUAUAACAUAAGUCUUGAACUUGGAACCUUGUUCUUCUUUUUGUGUUGCUCUUUUUCUUCAUUUUUCUUCUUUGUUUUUGUUGCUUUUCUUGAAUCAUCUUUAAUAGGCUCUUAUUUUCUUCACUUUUUCAAAUUUCUUCAUUCUUUGUGUUGCUUCUUGGAAGGUCUAAGGAAUUUCACCAAGUAACAUAGGACUCCAAUAGUGAAAAUUGAGUGAUAGAUAGAGGCUAAUAUGAACACCUAAUGAUCAUUGACAAUGUGCCAAGAUCAACUAAAAAGGGUGGGGAAUGACUCAAAAAUGGGUGUUACCGAAAAAACUUGGUCCCAAAAGAUGUGAAUUGGGGGACCCACUUCAAAGUUCAUCAAGCACCUCAAUGCAAGGUGUGAUAAACAAAAUCUAUCUAACUAUCUACUCUAGACCCCUAGAAAAAUGAUAACCUAUCCUAAAAAGGUGGUGAGAAUCUAACUAAGCAAGGCUCGGACGAGACUCGGGAGUACUAAGGGGUACUCCCUCCAAAACCAAGAUGCGAGUCUUCAAUAUCUUCAAUGUCUUCAAAAUACCUUACCGGGCUAGUCUUUGCUCGCACACAUUGGCAUGACCAACCACAUCCCUCCGCACCUAGACCCAAUCAAGCUACCUGCAUCUGACCCCCACACAAGCGGUCUCAAAGUGGUCUGUGAGGCUCAAAACAUGUCCCAUUCAUCAAAUACAAGGAAUUCCAUAUCAAGACCCGGGACCAAUCUAUGAUUCAAUAAUUAUGACUCGGCGCUAUGGUACCUGUAGGGAUGAGAAGACAAGAGAGAACAAAAAUGCAUGAACUUAAACUAGAAUGCAUCUAAAAAGUAUGAAAAUUAGAAAAGAAAGAAAGAAAAUAUGCAAUAUUUUUGAAUUUUUUAUGCAAUUUUUAUGAGUGACCUAAAUGACUUACUCUAAAUGCAACAAUAUACAACCUAAAUGCAAUAAAAAAAAUAAGAAAUACCUCACCCCAUGCUUAAAAUUAAGCAUUGUCCUCAAUGCCUAGGAUGAGAGUAAGGAAGGAUCAUAUCGGGAUCAAGGAGGAGGAGGCAUGCGAGGACGGUAUGGAAGCAACCCAUGGGUCGCAUAAUGAUGCUUGGAUGGAGUUCUUGGCCGCCUAAAUACACAUGAAUGAAAGCUUGGUCGCGCAAAGGAUGCAUAUGAAAUGGCUCGAAAUUUUCUUAUGAAAUGACAUAUUUGCGCGGGCAAGGUUCUAAAAGGCGUGAGGCAUGGCGUGGCGGCAAGGCCAAGCCNCAAGCCUCAAGCUUAACGAGUUAUGGCGAGCCAUGGCUUUUUUCAAGGUGUGAUGUAAGGCGGCGAUUUUGUAUUAAUUUAUAAUUAUAUUACCGCAUAAAUAUAAAUUUAUAUCAAAUAUACCUAGUUUUUAGAAGUGUUAUAUCAACAACUAAUAACAGAAAGUUAAUAAAAAACACAAUACUUGUAUGUCCGAUUAGAAAAGGUAUAAAAAAGAGCAAAAAAACGUGUCUCAAACGAAAAAACACGCGCCAUAACACGCCAUAACGCGCCAUGACACGCCAUAUCACGCCUUGCCACGCGCCACACCUAACAGCAAUGUUAUGAAGCUUUUCGAAACGGCGACGCCGCGCCUCACGCCAUGGCGCCCGCCAUGGCGCGCCUUUUAGAACACUGUGCGCGGGUACCCUCGCAAACUUUACGCGGGUGGGGGGCAGCCGCGCGCACAUGUCAGAAUACAUCCCAUGUUGGGGUAAUUUGGAACUCGGAAUCUGCGCGGCUGGGGGUCGGUCGCGCAACGGCUGCGUGGGCACCCGCGCGCAACAAUCAGAGAGCACCCCAUGUUGGUGUAAUUUGGAUCUCGGGACCUGUGCGGCUGGGGUCGGUCACGCAAAGUCUGCGCGGGCACCCGCGUAAAAGUCAAAUUUUUGGAAUUUUUCAAACUUCACCAAAAUCACUAGAAGACUUCUAUAUGCUUAUUUUUUUGGCCAACUUCAAGUUUAGAAACACCCAAAACUUCAAGCGGAGAUUAUUUAUUCACAAUGCAUUUAUUUAACGUCUUUGCCAAGACAUAGCCCCGCUUCCGUCAACCUUCGUAAAUCGGUGUUUCCAUUGUUACGUUGUCGAAUUCUCCCGUGUCAAAGCCUUCAUAAAAUAGUUUCAAAUGGUGCCCAUUCACUUUGAAGAUUUGGUUUGUUUCCAAACUCUUGAUUUCAACCACACCAGGAUCAAACACUUUUAUAACAAUAAAAGGUCCAUGCCAUCGAGAUCGCAAUUUUCCCGGGAAUAGCUUUAAGCGUGAAUGAUAAAGAAGAACUUUUUGACCCGGAAUAAAGUGUUUUUGGGUGAUGUGCUUGUCAUGAAAUACCUUUUUCUUCUCUUUUCACCUUUUGAACCUUUUAAUUAUCUUCUUCUUGACCACUUCCAUCAUUGGAGGAUCCAAUCUUCUUUGAGGUUCCCUCUUAGGAUUACAAUCAUCUUCCAUGAUUAUCUUGUCUGUGCAUACAUUAGGGCUUAUCCUGUUUACUGGCUCAAUCACAUCAACCCGAUACAAUGGAGAAAUGUUACUAGGGUACCUCAUUCCUUCAAAGAUGUUGAAGUGAAUGGUUUCUCCAUCAAACUCCAUAGUUAUCUUUCUUUUAUGGACAUCAAUGAUUGUGUGAGCGGUAUGCAUGAAAGGUCUUCCAAGGAGGAUCAUAGAUGAUUUGGAAGGAGUCUUCUCUUCUAGAUCAAUGACAUAAAAAUCCGCCGGAAAAACAAGUUGAUUAACUUGUACUAACACAUCCUCCAACACUCCUCUUGGAAAUACACUUGACUUGUCCGCUAAUUGAAUGAUGACUCCGGUUUCUUCCAAAGGUCCAACAUUGAGAGAUUGAAAAACCGAGUAUGGCAUGACAUUGAUUGAGGCUCCAAGAUCUAGCAUGGCACUUUUAACAUGUAAAUCACCAAUGGUGCAAUGUAUAGCAAACAUUCCUGGGUCUUUGCAUUUGGGUGUAAGCUUCUUUUGGAUGACCGCGGAUACAUUUGCAUUUACUUGAAUCUUCUCAUUUGUCUUGAAUUUUCUCUUGUUGGUGCACAAAUCCUUAAGAAAUUUGGUGUAACGUGGGAUUUGCUUAAUGGCAUCCAAUAGUGAAAUAUUGAGUUGAACCUUGCGGAAAGUCUCAAGAAACUCUUUCUCUUCUUCUUGGUUCUUUGAGGACGCCAACCGAGAUGGAAAAGGUGGUGGUAUGACCAAUGGUUUGAUGGGUUUUUUGGAAGGAUCAGAUUGAUCAACAUUUGGCACAACCGGUUCCUUUGGAGGAACUACAACUUUUGUAGAUUCCACAAUGAUCACUUCAUCUUCGUCUUCUCUUGAAACUCUUUUAGGUUGACUUUCUCUAAGUGUUUUCCCACUUCGCAAGGUGAUGGCACUCACAUUGGGGUUCUUCUCGGUUUUUGAUGGAAGUUUACCCCUUUGUUCUAUCUUGUUGAGAGCGGUUGCCAAGUCUCCAAUUUGUGUUUGAAUGUUGGAGAAAGUAUUCUUGGUUUCUUGUUGAAAUUGGGUUUGACUUUGAGCAAGAGAAGUAACAAGUUCUUGAAGGUUCAUUUGAUGGUUACCACUUGAUUGACCUUGUUGUGGAGGGUGUCGAUAAUUUGGAGGGUUAUAAGAAUUUUGUGGAUAUAGAGGUUUUUGGGAUUGGUAUUGUGGAUGUUGGGGUCUCAUCAAAAGAUUUGGUGGAUUUUGCUUUGGUGGAUAAGGGUUGUUUUGGUUAUUCCUCCAAUUUGGGUUGAAAUUGUUUUGAAAUCCCGCGGGUCUUGGUUGACAUUGAUAUCCGCCCAUUGCAUUCACAUCUUUCGGUUCACUUCCAAGUGUGGGACACUUAUCCGUAUAAUGGCCCGUCAUUGCACAAAUACCACAUGCCAUCAAUUGUUGACCACUUCCCACCACUAGUUGACUUAACACAUUAGUCAAAUCCAAGAGCUUUGAUUCCAAAUGUUGAGUGUUGCCAACUUCACCAACCACUUGUGUAUAAUUUCUCUUCAUGUCAUUUCGAGUCCCAGAAUUCCUUUGAUUUUGAGAAAUGGUACCAAAAAGUAAUCGGAUCUCGUGAGGGGUUUUGUUGAAGAUGUCACCACCACUUGAAGCAUCAAUCAUCCUUCGAUCUUUUUCAUUCAUACCCUCAUAAAAUUGUUUAAGAAGUAGUUUUUCGGGUAUAUUGUAUUGAGGACAACUUGUACACAAAUUGUUGAAGCUCCCAAAAUCAUGAAAUGUUUCAUUUUCCCCUUGAUGAAUCCACAAAAUGUCACUUCUUUGACUUGAAAUGCGGGAGGUGGGAUAGAAUUUGCUAUUGAAGGUCUUGAGUAACUCUUCCCNCCAUGUGUGAAUAGAUCUCGGUGGUAAGUUGAAUAACCACUCUCUAGCUUUGUUUUCCAAGGUGAGCGGGAAUGCGGUUAACUUGAAAUCAUCCAAUGUCACAUUGUCGGGCAACAUGCUAACACAUAUCAUAUGAAAGGACUUCAAAUGCUUUUGAGGGUCUUCUCUAUCCAAACCAUGGAACUUGGUAAGUUGAUGGAUGAAACUUGACUUCAAUUCAAUCCCUCGGCGGUUUGCGGGAUAAACAAUAGCAAGAGGUGUGUGAGUAACAUCCGUUUCCAUCAUUUGUCUAAGUGUCAACUCUUGAGGGGGAUUGGGUGGAUUGGGGUUGUUGGGAUAUUGUUGCAAGUAAUUGGGUGGUUGAUGAUAAGGUGGGUAAGAGUAUUGUAGGGGAUUGUAGAUUGGUGGUGGAUAAGGUUGGUAGUUAGGGUAUUGGUUGUAAGGAGGUUGUUGUUGUGGGUACAUUGGGUUUUGGUACAUUGGAGGGUGUUGGUAAUUGGGUUGAUUUGGGUAAUGUACUUGUUGUUGAACUUGAAAAGCAUUGUUUUGAGGUUGGUUGUUUUGGUGGAAGUUUUGGUUUUGUGGUUGAUAAUUGGGUUGGUUUUGAGGAGGUGCUUGAUUCCAAGGUGGCAUAUCAAUGAGAGGUUCUUGUGGUUAGUGUCUUGGUUGAUGGGGUGGGGUAUUGGCAUCUUGAUUGAUUGGGUUUGGGUUGGGAUUGUGAGGUGAAGUGUGAUUCAUGGCUAUGUGGUUUUCAAACGGAAUGUCUUCAAAGGAAUGACCAACAAUUAGAGAACUCGGUUCGGUGUCGGUAUCACUUGAAGUAUGAACUUGAUCUUCUAUGUUGAUUAGUGGAGAAGAGGAAGAAGCUUGAACUAGUUGUUGUUUCUUUGCUUGUUUGGAUAACUUUUUCAACCUUUUUGCUACUCUUUCAAUUUUCGGAUUGUAGAGUAGUUCACCGGUUCUUGUAGACCUAGGCAUAAACAAUCAAAUAACAAUAACCAAUUUCCCCGGCAACGGUGCCAAAACUUGGUGGGAUGUCAAGUCCACGAAGCAAAUUACAACAUUUGAUUGCUAAAUAAACGUAAUAUAAUGGUAAAAAGGGGUAUCGAUCCUCGGGGAAAUGGUUGUAUUCAAUCACCAAUGCAAUUCAAUAGAACUAGUGAAAUUAAACUAACUAACUACAAUUAAACUAAAGGGGGGGNUUGUAGACCUAGGCAUAAACAAUCAAAUAACAAUAACCAAUUUCCCCGGCAACGGCGCCAAAACUUGGUGGGAUGUCAAGCCCACCAAGCAAAUUACACCCUUUGAUUGCUAAAUAAACGUAAUAUAAUGGUAAAAAGGGGUAUCGAUCCUCGGGGAAAUGGUUGUAUUCAAUCACUAAUGCAAUUCAAUAGAACUAGUGAAAUAAAACCAACUAACUACAAUUAAACUAAAAGAGGGUUUUUUGGAUUACUUGAAAACUAAAAUACUUGAAUAACUAAAAACCUUGCAAUUAAGCAAGUUGAUGAGAUGCUCAAAGGUUGGGAAUAAUUGGUUAACUAACGCAAUUCAACACAAUGAACAUUUGUGUGUUUAUCAUUAGGAUCUAAUACAAAGCUUAUCCUUCAUCCCAAAUUGGUUAUAGCAAUCAUGAAGCAUGAUAUGCCAAGAUUCCUCAUAGGUAGUAUGGAGGUUGGGGAAGCCCACAACACACCUUCUUAAUUAAGAUCAAGGGUCAAUUGAAGCAAUUAAUCCCAAGAAAUCAAUUAGCCUUAAGAAUGAAGGAAUCCCCAAUUCCUAGAGGAUGUCAAAUGCUUACACAUCCAUAAAGGAGAUAUGAUUCAUAAGCUAGAGAUGAUUUCUACCAUCAUAAAGCCUUUGUUCUAGAUAAAUUCAAUGAUCCAAUGCAAAAUCAAUGAAAUAAAUCAACCAUUGCUCAAUCAAAUACUAAGCUCAUGAUCAAAGCAUCAAAUAAGCAUAAGAAUUGCAAACUAGAAUCAUAAACAUGGAAUAAAUUGAUAAUCAACAUAAAUCCUUCAAAACCCACAAACAUUCAUUGGUUUUCAGCCAAAGUCAACCAAAUAAGAGUAUUAGCCACUCAUGGCAACAAAGUAACAAGAACAAUAAUNNNNNNNNNNNNNNNNNNNNNNNNNNNNNNNNNNNNNNNNNNNNNNNNNNNNNNNNNNNNNNNNNNNNNNNNNNNNNNNNNNNNNNNNNNNNNNNNNNNNNNNNNNNNNNNNNNNNNNNNNNNNNNNNNNNNNNNNNNNNNNNNNNNNNNNNNNNNNNNNNNNNNNNNNNNNNNNNNNNNNNNNNNNNNNNNNNNNNNNNNNNNNNNNNNNNNNNNNNNNNNNNNNNNNNNNNNNNNNNNNNNNNNNNNNNNNNNNNNNNAGGCUGUAAUACAAGCAAUCUUAGGUGUGGAACCUUCAUAACGCUGUCAUUUUGCUUUAAUAGCUUUUUUACCCACCGCAUUUUUCUUCCGGAGCCCUAAUGUUUCAUUAAUUAUCACGUGCAUUGGAUGAAAAUGAAUUCGCCUACAUUCACUUAUUUUAGGCAUCUAUAAAUUUUUAUAUUAUUUUUCUCUUGAUUUUCGGCUCCCAUGAAAUCCUACCAAUAUUACAAAAUUCAUCUCACUUUUACCCAUAAUUCUUUCUCAACUUUGAUUUCUAGUAUCCAUAAUUUUUUUAUACGAGUAACCUACCUAUUUCUCUAUUCUAUAUUUCAUGAUCCUCAAUUGCAUCGUUUAAUCCAAGCGACCAGGUAUGAAUUAAUUUAAUUUUCUUUGUUAUUGUGGUUCCUUAUCAAUUUUACCCACCCUUCCUUCUCAACUUUGAAUUCUAUGACCACUAAUAUUUUUUUUUACUAGAUUAACCUACAUAGAGCGUUGUUUUAUCAUUCAUCCUCAUUAAUUUUGUGGGUUAUCAAAGUUACCAGGUACCAACAUGCUGUUAAAAAAGCUAUUAAUUGUUUUUCAUAUUGACUUACUCAGUUCUCUGUUUUAGGUUGAAUUUGAUUCAAUAACAUCGGACACCUAUAAAAAGUUAAGAUCAUGGAUUUUGAAAGCCCAGUAGCUAAUCAGUCGUUUGCAACACAUACAAUCGAAGAUAUAGAUGCGAAUGUUUCUUUGGAAUCAACAUUUGAAUCUGAAAAAAUAAAUGAGGAUAUUGUGAAUCUUGCAUGUGAUGAAGAUGAAGCUAAGGAUCUAAGUAUUAUGGGGAAGGUUUUCAGUACACCUAAGGAUGCAUAUACAUUUUAUAACCAAUAUGCCUUUUUACAUGGAUUCGGUAUUCGUGUUCAUUGGAGCUUUAAAAAUAAAACCACAAAUGAGCCUUAUCGGAAGAGCUAUGUGUGUAAUAAACAAGGCUUUAAAAGUUUGAAGGGUAAUAGUUUAUGUGGAGUUGCUAAGAAACGUCGUAGAAAUUUGAGGACUGGAUGUAAAGCAAUGCUCCGGAUAUCAAAAGGAAAAGAUGGUGAAUGGUUUGUCGAUGUGCUUAACGACACACACAAUCACAAUUUGAGUACAACUCCUACCAAAGUAAUGAAACAUCGUUCUCAUGAAUAAUACACCGCUCAAUGGCAUGCAAGUCUCUUAUGGUGGAACUAGGUCAAUCAGGGUUAAGGCCUUGUCAAAUCAAAAGGCUGUAAAUACAAUGAAAACUCCAUAUGAUGCCGAUGUUACCUCAAAGCAAUGUGCUGAUGUUUUAUCAGAGCAACGAAAACAAUAUAAAGGUAAAGAGUUCUAUGGGUUGAUCAAACAUUUUCAAGAUAAAUCAUUAAUAGACAGUAACUAGUAUUUUGCUAUGGAUUUGUUUGAUGACUGGUCUCCAAAAAAUGUUUUUUUGGGCUGAUGGAAGAUCACGAGAGGCAUAUACUAAAUUUGGGGACGUCGUUGUGUUUGAUGUCACAUACAUGACCAACAAAUUUAAGAUGCCAUUUUCUCCAUUUAUUGGUGUGAACCAUCAUGGUCAGUUUAUAUUGUUUGGUGGUACAUUGUUAGAAAAUGAAAAAGAAGAAACUUUUCGAUGGCUAUUUGAGCAUUUCUUAAACUGCAUGUUUCGCAAGUAUUCGGUGGCAAUGAUAACAGACCAGGAUAAAGCUAUGGGUAAUGCAAUCAAGAAAGUGUUUCCAAACACCCGUCAUCGCUAUUGUGCAUGGCACAUUAAGAAGCAUGAAUUAGAACAUCUUCGGCCACUUAUAGCCCGUUAUAGUGAUUUUAAAGAAUCUUAUAGACAGUGGGUAAAGAGUGAUACAACCGAAGAAUUUGAAACCAAUUGGGAAGUUUUACGUGGUAAGUAUAACAUCGAAACUAACAGUUGGAUAACCGAUAUGUAUAACCAACGAAUACACUGGGCCAAAGCUUUCUUGAAAGAUGUUUUCUUUGCUGGUAUGACUAUGAGUGGAAGAAGCGAUAGCAUUCAUUCAUUUUUUGAUGGAUUUGUUAAUUCCAAGACCAUGUUGAAUGAAUUUGUACUCCAAUAUAAUAAAGCAGUUGACUCUCGAAGGGCCGCCGAAGAAGAUGAAGACUUUAAGACCAUGAACUCCAGUCCAAUCCUUUCUUCUGUUCAUCCGAUAGAAGCAAAAGCAGGCCAGUUUUAUACGAGAAAUUUUUUUGAGGUAUUCAAAAAAGAAUGGAUAGAAGCUAAUUGUAAUUUAACUCAUGAGACUUUAAGUAAAACCACAAAAGAAAUCAAAUAUAGGGUUGGGAAAAUGGAUAUUGAUAAAAGACAUUGGAGAAUUGUUAUCUUUCAUUUUAUGGAUCAUGUGAAUGUCACGUGUUCAUGUGCUAAGUAUGAAACAUAUGGAAUAUUAUGUAAGCAUAGCCUUUACGUGAUGAAGAAAAGACAUGUUGAAAAUCUUCCUGAUCACUAUAUUUUACCAAGGUGGAAACUUAGCGCUAGGUAUAAGGUGGGUACUGAAAGCAUUGGACUCGAAGAUGUGAAUUGUGAAAAUGGAGUUAGUGCCUUAACUUUAUGGUGUGUUCGUUCAAAUUGUGAUAAAGCAAUCGAACAAGCAAGUGACUCCCUUACAGAGAUAGAAAAAUUCAAUAGUUUCGUGAUAAAGUUUUUAGAAGAUCAAAAGAUUCGGAAAAAGCCUAAAGCAUUUGAGAAUGUGUCUCAAGAUCGUUACAUGGGAAUUUCUCAAGUAAAUAUAAUGCCUCAAUUAUCUGUAUCUGUCCGGGAUCCUAUUGCUCCGACAAAUACGAAAGGGCGUCCUAAAAAUGCAACUAGAAUUAAGUCUUCUUUACAGAACGUGAAGAAAAAGAGAACAUGUUCUUACUGCCAAGGACUAGGUCAUUACGCCACUGGUUGUCCAAAAAGAAAGGUAAUUGUAAUAUUUAUUUGAUUAUUCAUGAUUUCAUUGCGUCCUACUUAUAUUAAUUAUUAUCAGGUGGAUGAAUCUGUAGCAGAAAAACAGUGAUGAAAUUGUGUAAUCAAGUGGAUGGGUUCUUUUUGUUGACUUCAUGUGUUGCUUGUUGAUGCUGGGAGGAUGUUGUGCAUCUUGUGUUUGGUUUUUGCUCAUUAUAGAUGCAUCAGUUUACAUCAUACACCAUUAUUUUUUUCCUUAGAGAGAGCUUACAAAAAUUUUUGGUUAAUUUAUGCAACUUUAAUAUCUAUAUUAAUCCAUUGAAAGCUUUUAGAAACAUGAAAUAUUAAUGAAUGAAUGCAACUGGGAUUUCGUUUAAUGGUUUUUAUCUCUUGAUGUAAAUAUAGAUUAAAUUAUUAGAGUUAAUGUAUGUGAUUGUUUCUUAGAUGAUGGUUUUUUUAACUUUAUAAAUGCUUACAAAAGUUACUUUCAAAGUCACCUUAUGACAUUUGAACGUAUUUAUUAGUAAUUUUAAUAAUAUUUAAAGAAUAAAUUUGUAGGGAUAUGUUGCUACAGUAAUAUCAUACUUUAAUAAAUUGACAAAACUAUGAAACUGGAAUAUUUGAAUAUAUAUAUCAAAAUUCAUACAAGUAAGAAUGUUAUAACAAUUUACAUAACAAAUAAUGUGGUCUUUGUUAUCAGAACUAAAUACAAUAUUCUGAGCUAACUGUCCCAAAAAAUAAAAUAUUUUCAGUUUAUAGAUUUACAAUUAAAACACCUAAGAAAAUUAACAAGAGAAGAAACAUCUUAAAAAUUGGUUUAUACAAUCCCCCAAACGAAAAGAACUCAACUUAGAAAUGACCAACUAAAAGAUAGAAUUUAGCAAAUGGUUUAAAGUUCUAAAAAUCCACGCUAAAAAAUAAUAAUCCACCAACUAAAAAAAUUCAAAGUAGCCAAAAUUGGGUUGCUAUGAGUUGGUACUCUGACGAUCAGUUGCUAGCUUCAGUUGUUGGUCUUUCAUAGUCUAAUCUUUGUCCAUUCUUCUUGUAGCUGGCCAUUUGUCAAACAUCCUAAAUUCUUGCAUAAUCUUCCGUCCAGAAGCAUCCUUAACUGUCAUAGAAAUUGGAAAAGUUUUAAAUAGCAUAUACACACAGCUAACAGAUUGAAAUAUACAUUGCAAACUUUUAACCUUCAUGUUUUUGUGGCUUAUUUCUUUUAAGAGAUGGAUAAAUUCAACUAAAUGCACCUUACAUAAAUAAUAAACUUUUAUAUUAUGUAUUUUUAGUGGCUUAAUUCAUUUAGACAUUACAUCAAACACCUAUUGAGCAUUUCGAUAAGCAAGAACUAUGAGACAUAUAUUGUCACUUGACUUCUUCCUGUGUACAAGUCAUUCAAUCUAAUACAACUUUUAUAUAAUUUAAAUAAAAAUUUGACAUGCUAUUGCAAAUUUUUGCAACAUAUUCAAACCACAACUAAGUUAAUUUACCAUAAUAUAUUAUUAUAUUACCCACUGGAACAUGAAAAACAAAGUUCAAAUCAAGAAAUGGAUUGGGGACCUGCGUCUUAUCUUUCAACAUCCAAAAUCCUAGAAUCGGAACAAGGGAAGGAAGAAAGAUACGAUGAAAAUGUUCACCUUCAGGGGGGACCGACUAAGCGGAAAUAGAAGUCAAAUUGAAAAUGAAGGAAUCGAAUAUAAGAUUUAAUUUGCUUAUAUAAGAUAGCAAUUGGGGAGCAAUACGAAGAAAAUGGGAGAAGCUAAACCUGUAAUUAUUUUGUCCCCAACCCAUAUGGUUCUUAAGGAAGAAUAGGAGAAUUAAGAGCCAAAUGAUGAUAGCAAGGACGAAAUAGAUAGAAAAGACAUAAACAUAGAUAAUCAGUAAUAAAAAAAUUGAUAAUUAAUGAAAAAUUAGGGCUCAAGUAGAAAACAAGGAAUUCAUGCGAUGGGUUAAUAAUUUAAAGCAAAACGACAGCGUUAUGAAGGUUCCACACCUAAGGUUGCAUGUAUUACAGCCUCAUACUCACUUUUCCCUAUAUAUAUAAUAAAAUAAUAGUUUCAAAAUAAGCCGGAAAGCCUGAUGGUUUUUCUCAACUAUUUCAAUUUGAGUUUUCAGCAUCGAUGGAGAAGAAAGAGAAAAGAGUUGGAUGGAGCCAUUGAAGGAAUUCCAGAAUCGAUGGAGAAGAAAGAAAAAAGAGAGAAGGUUAAUUGGAUGAUAUAUGGAAUUGUAAAAAAAUCAACCACACGAUUUGUGGAGGAUUGGUAUUCAUUAUAAAGUAAAGAAUACAACACUAAUUAGGAUGAUUACACAAAAUAAGGUUGUACGCAAUCUUUGACUAAAAAUACAAAUAUUCAUCUAAUAAGAUCCUGCAUGAUUCUACUAAGUGUUUAAAUGCAUGGCAACGAAAAACGAAAAAGCAUCGAGUCUUCACUUCUUUAAAUUAUGCUUAUGACGGAUAGAUAUGUCAAAAAGUCAUAUGAAACCCCGUUCUCAUGGGCGUAAACCGUAGGGUACGCUUUUCACGAUUACUAUUUAUAAUAGCUCUUCUUGUUCUUUGGCGUAAACGAAAAGUUGCAUUUUGCAACAAAAGGUUUGUUGUUACUACAAAUGUGGAAAAAAUAUUGUGUUGCGUUGGUUUGCCCAAAUGGUCCGACAAUGAGUUCUCUGAAGAUGACAAUUUUGAGAGUAGACCAUAAUAAAACGAAAUGUGUUGAAUCAUGAUAAUAGAAACGGUAUUUGCAUGUUUGGUUGUGUUUGUUUAUUUUUUGUUUUGUGUAGAAUUUGUGCAUGUUAAAAAAUAUAAAUAAAACAUAACAUUUUUAAUGAGUUAACAAGCUAGAUUUAAAAAUUAAAAUAGCAAAAUAUAAAAUUGUUUUAUAAACAAAUUUUAAAAUUGGUUUAAAAACAUUUUUUUUUUUUUUUUCUGAAAGUCAAAAGUUAAAAUGUUUUAACUAAGAAAACAAAAACCUAUUUUCAAAAUAGAGGAAAUGACACAAAUGUCCUACAAAGUUUUUAAGGUUGGUCGAUUCACUCCCUAAAGUUUUUGUCGAGCUUUAUGGGUUCCUAAACUAGGAUAUGACAUACUCUUUUAGUCUUUGUCAACCUGUAAUAGCUGAUUCACCAUGCGACAAUGACCAUUUACACCAAAAAAAAAACUCACAUUGUGCCCAUAUAAAAACCAAAAAAAAAAAGUUUGGGGAUCAAAUGUUAGUUUCACUUUCAUCUCCACCCAACACCACCCUUAUUCCACCUUCCUCACAACCUCCUCCGUUAACUUGUCAUGCUACCUAAACCAACUACUCAUCAACAAUUUAUUGAGCUAUUACAGCCACAAUAACACACCUUAAUCACCAUCGAAUCAGUAUCACAACAGCCCAAUCCAACCACCCUUAUUUUUCCCUUUGUCUCGUGAAAUCAGCCACCACCAGAGUACUCGUAACCCGCAAAAACCACCAGUUAGCCACCAUGACUAUCACCUGCAAAUUGAAGAAAAAAAUAUUAACUCUCGUCUUCUCUGUGAACCUCAUCAAACCUACGCAUCCUUCUCAACCUCGCAUCCAUCAAAUAUGCAACUCCGAGGGAGAAGGAGAGGUAGCUUGUGCGAUUUUGAAAAUAAAAGAAGGAAGGAAGUGGACAAUUCUUUGAAGAGAUGAAAUUGAUCAAAUAAAAGAGUAGAAGGGGGUUGUCAUCGAGAAUCGAUUAGAAAGAGAAGAGGGUUGUGAACUUUGGUGAGUGUGUAUGUCAAUCGAGGAUGAAGACGGAAAAAAGAGCAGUGAUCGAUUUCUUAGGAAUGUACAAAUUAAGUGUGAAUUGCCUUUGAAGAAAAGAAGGAAAGCUAAGAAUGUCAAUUUUUGUUGUUGGAUGUUGGUAUACACGAAGACACACAAGAAAUCAAAUAGGCUGCUAUCUUUCAUUCUUCUCCCAAAUCACUUCGAUCUUUUGGCAUAAGCAUUUGAUCCUCAAACUUAUUUAUUUGGCUUUAUAGGGGCACCAUGUGAGUUUUUGGUCUAAACGGUCGCUGUCACAUGGUGAACAGGCUAUUACAAGUUGACAACGACUAAAAGAGCAGGUCAUAUCCUAGUUUAUGGACCUAUAAAACCCGACAAAAUCUUUAGGGGCGAAUAAACCAACCCUAGAAAAUUUGAAGGGAUUUGUGUCAUUUGACCUUCAAAAUAUGAACCUCAUGUUAAUCAUCAUCAAACACACACUUUGAGAUAAUAAUCUUUCGAUGUAGGAAAGUUCAUACACCAAACACGUCAACUAGUCAUUAGGGAUAGUGAUAUGGUGUCCGUGAUACCUAAUAGUUUUGAGCCAGAUAAACAUGUUUCUUUAUUGUCGAUUUACUAUAUAGGUUUAUGAUCCACUGCCAUACAUGUCAUAAGAAAGUUUAAGUGUGGAAGGAUUAAACAUGUCAAAUGACAUAAUAAAUGUGAUGAGCUUUGCAAGUACCAAAAAGUUUGGUUGAGAUUAAAAUUGGUAACAUGAACACCUGUCUAAAUUUGAAAAACGAGAGGUUUCUGUCACUCAGACGUUUGUUCAUUCUGGUACAAGAAGAGUUAUAAAAACUCAAAAUGAUUAUAACAAACUUAUUCUCAAAGUUAAAGAUGUCCCACAUAACGAAAAAGACAAGUUGAUCAGCAAUGUAAAGGCGAUGAGGAUAAUCAGAUUCGUUUUGCCUCCAGACACCUUUCGUCUAGUGAGUGCCUGUGAGACUGCAAAAGAGAAGUCUACUUCUUUGCUGGCUUGACUCCAGAACUAGUAGAGGAAGGAAGCGAUGAUCGGUCUAUCCCAUUAAGCGUAAUCCCGCUAGCCAAUGAAAGGACUACUCUUCUUGGACUGUGAGCGACGACACCAGAUCAGAGCUAAGUGAGAGACGAUAAAUGCGAUUAAACUGCUUUAUAACUGCUCGAUUUAUAAGUCUUGCCUAAGUCCUAGACUUGAAUGAAGCAGCCUGGCUGAAAGUCGUAUUUGCUUUUGCUUUUCUUGUUCUCUUUUCUUAGUUAGGCCCAAGAAAGUACAAGAUAUAGCUUGACUAAUAUACUAAGAUGAUAGCUAGAGACUAGAGAUGAGAGUGCAGGAUCUAGAUUUGUAACAAAUAUUCGACUUUGCUUAUGCAAAUUGUUAUGUACCAAAACCAAAGAAUAUCGUCGAUGGGAUACAAAAAAAGAGGAUCCUACUUCGCUCAUGCACCGUCUUUUCACCCUCCUACCGCUGGUAAAGCUAGCAGUCUAAUAAAAUUUCUGCAUGUUAAGACAGCACACUAGUACAUUUUCAUUGACCACUGAGACCAACCCCCAAGCCCGGUCUUUGAACUAAUAAAGAUGGCAUAGUAGAAAACUUCAGACUGACUAUCAUCGCGCUUGAAGUCCACCCAAGAGAGUUCCCCGGCUUCUCGUGAUGAGCGCAGCGCAGCAAACGGUGUUUGCGCCAGAGGAGGGUGGUGAGAACCGUUGAGCCAUUGGCUUGCUGAGCUUUUCUGAUUUGGGUUUCUCACCCACAUCACCGAGAGGAGGGCUUUUUUCGUUAUAGAAAAGAAAGGUCAAUGAAAGGAUUCAGUAAUGACGCCAUGCAUCACCAUUGAGUGCUGUGCUGAAGAGAAAAAAACCGAAAAAAGUUCCCCACAUUGGGAGAGAAAAGAGAAGACUGCGGUCAAUGAUCAAUUGUGCACAUCCUUUUUGGAUGGUCGGCUUAGAGUGAAAGCAUACGAACAUAGACUUUGUGACUGACUUCGCCGUAUAAGCAUAUCUUCACUGAAAGUCAUUAGGGCUGCUUUUGCCCAUGCCAUGAAUGAGAGUGAGUCCAGUCCAUCUUCCUUCCCUGGAUAUGCUGUGUCCUCUACAUUCGCUUCGUCCUCCGCCUCUACUGCGCAAAGAUUUUGAUCCCCCGUUUAGUGAGUCGUGAAAGCACCUACCUUAUGUUUAGACGUAUUGGUUUCAGUGAAAAGCCAAAUAGAGAGUUUUGCGUGUGCCUGCUUUAGUAAGAGUAAGGAAAAAGCUUGAAAAGCGUACUUGCUUUAACAACGGAAAGAGGUUCCUUCAGCGGUUCAACUUUAGGUCUCGGUUCAGGUGCUUUUCAUGAUUGUGGUGUUUGAUUGGGCACGGGCGUUCCUGUCCUUACUUAGAGGUCAAGUUGCCACCUGUCUAUCGAAGGGGGAUUUCCCAGCCUAUCUCGGUAUAUGUUACCGAAAGAAGGAAGAAGAAUCUAAUGAUUUCCCUAAUUCUGUGAGAAAGAAAAACCAGUUUGUUAGAGCUGGGGCAGAGAAGCAAUCAACAGAAUGGGUCCCUGUUGUUCACAAGUGAAGGCACUGAACGGAUCAAGAUCUCGUAAAUUCAUUGUCUUUCUUGAUUCAAAUCAGAAAGAACUUCUUUCGCUAUUGAAGCCAUGCCUGAGCUGUCAGCUUAUUAGCAUCCCUCUUCUGCGUUAGGAAUUGUCCGAAAAGGUUCGAUUGAAUCCCAUGCUUUCAUGGUCCCUAUCUCUGCCCCGGCACUGGCCGACACGUAGGUCUAUUCCGCGCUUUCCUAGGUGCGCAUCUCCAUCUACUAAAAGUAGGGGUGGUUGCCAUAGAUAGAUUGGGUCAUUCGUAACCAGAGCAAUAACCGAUGCUACAGCAUAAACUAAAGCUAUACGUGGCGGCCCCUAAAGGCGUAACUGACAGGUUCUGUUUUAUCUGCCCAUCCGAGUCAUCCCGUACUCCAAAAAAGCAGAGGUGAGGUCCGGAGAGUGGGACGGAUCUACCUGGCCAAGGUGCCAAUGUCAAGUGGUUAUCCGAAGUGUUGGAAUAUGCUCUACCUACGGUACCUAACUAGUCUUUCUUUUCGGUAAGUAAGAAUACAUUGACCGAUGGAGGAGAACCCCCGAAGUAAACAUAAAUGAAGGGGCAUACCCCACCCCAGGCAACCAAACAAAGAACUCAAGACACUCCCCGAGCUCUAAAAUAAAGAAACUAACCUAUGGAAAAAAUUAUUGAAAUUAGAUUACGAUUACAAAGGCUAAAAAUAAUCCAAGUUUCUACGUAAUCAAAAAGAGCCUAAGGAUUAACCGAAACUAAGCACAUACUAAGCCCAAUAAGACACAUUGGCCUAGAUAUACAUGAGGCCAACUGAAAAACAGGUAUACACAUCAAAUAAACUAGGAUGAAACAUAGGAUUCGGUGGAUGAUUCGGCAUCCUUUAUUAAUUGCGUAUAUAACGGUAGCCCUUCCUAAAUAGUUUUUGAGUAGGCUAGGAAAGAAAGAAGAAAUGAUAGAGCGAAAUGGGUUGGUUGCCCAAAGGGCUAUCUGAUCUGAUCAUGGGGGGAUAGCACAAGGGCUUAAGGCAUUGGUUUGCUAAAUCGACAUACAAGAAGAUUGCAUCAUGCAUGGGUUCGAAUCCCAUUUCUUCCAGUCUUUUCCUACUGAACACUUUCCUGCUCAAGAUAGGGUACUAGAAAGGGAUCAUACGAAGGCUAUGUUCUUUUUUUAGAUCUAGCCUGAAUGACUCCUAAACUAAAGGUUUUCAUUAUAUCUAAAGUGUGCAGUGAGGGAUCUUUAUAUUAUAGGUAGCCAGUCUUUACUUCACUCGACCCAAGCAAUGCCCAAAGAGUCCCAUGCCUUUCUUGGUCGGACCAAGCCAACUGGCGAUUUCCGACAAGUCUUUCCUAAUUUUUAGAGCAAGAAGCGGAACUACAGGNNNN